rnacentral:tRNA from 1 species
AGCCCGGUCGUCUAGCGGUCAAGGAUGGGAGGCUCUGGACCUCCUGACGAGAGUUCGAAUCUCUCCCGGGCUACCA